AUUCUGCCCAUGCGGGGAAGGAUGAGAAGCUUCGACUAAGGUUCGGCUCGAGCGUCAGCGAGAGCGUUGCCGCAGGCAACGACCCGAAGGGCGAAGCGCGCAGCGCUGAGUAAUCCUUCCCCCACCACCA
rnacentral:sRNA from 1 species